rnacentral:sRNA from 1 species
UGACAACUAACGAAAGGACUGAUGGGUGGACGAUGAUUAACUAAUCUAUUUUCUUAGCUGAAAUGAAAAAUUUUCGAAGCGAGAACAUAGGAUUAGUCUGCCCAUUUGUCUAAAACGAAUCUGCCACGUGGCGUUCGUUUCUUUCAUUCGGAUCUGUACGGCUAAUCCUUCCAAUUAUUAAUUGGGAGGUUUUUUUG